rnacentral:lncRNA from 1 species
AUGACGAAAGCUCCUCAGGGGUUUGAUUUCAGUUUCUUAAAUGAGGAAGAAGCCAGGAAGAUCCUUCAGGUGCUGGAAAGAAAUGAGAAACUACAAAGGGCAGAGAAGGACAGGAUCAGCAAACUUCAGAAGACAAAGAGGGAUAUCAGAUGGCUUCAAGGAGUGACUGGUGAAUGGUUUGAAGAAAUUCAAAGAAAAAAGUUUUGCAAUGAAACAGAUGUUAGUCAAAUGUUCAAACAACCACUGAUGUACAGGCUAAGGAAGGAGAUGGCAAAAAAGGAUCCUAUGGAAUUACAAACAUCAAGAUCUAAUAAUGUAACUAAUCGAAAAACCCCAACAUCUGUUCCUUCUCAGCUGAGCUUCAGAUCAUCAUUCACUUCCCUGUUUUCAUUCAGAAAACCUGGGAGAGACUCUUUAAAGCUUCAAUCACUGGGACAGAAAGGGUGAGUUAAAUUCAGAUCAUGUGACAGCUUCUUUGUCAUCUGACAGUAGAGGCCGAUUGCCAGUUUUGUGUUCAGAAUGCUUUAUGUUUCUUCUUAGAAUUUCAAUUCAGACAGUAACAAAGGAAACAGGGCUUAGCUCGCAUAGUGGCAAAGUUCUUGGGAAACUGAAACUUGAUUCACCUCAACUCCCAAAUUUUAACCAGCUACAGAUGUACUUGGUGCAUAAUGGGUUAAGUAUUGGGAAAUAGUUAUUAGCAAUUGUUCCACAGCUCCAAGAGAAAGCAUAGUCUCUUCUUGAGCUGGAAAGAUCCAUUUAAAUCAAAGCUACACCUUUAGGGAAUAUGUGUGUCCUUGGUCAUAAAGGAGUUGGAUUUGGACCAGAUGAAAGUAAAUAUAAGAAAAAGAGUAGAAAAAAACAGAAUUCUAAAACAUAGAAGAAAAAGCAUGUUGGUUACCAGAAAUAUUGACAGCAGCCAUUCCCAUGUGGUUGUCCAGAAUUUAAAUAUAAGUUGAAGUGGAGAAAGUUUUUGGAACACUGGAGGCAUGGUACCAGAUGGUUCCUGGUUUAGAACCACAUAAUCAGUUUACCUGAACUCAUAAUGUCAGAUUGCUUUGAGAAAAACAAGCAAGACUAUGCUGAUGGGUGUUUGAGCUGAUUACUAAAUAUUUUCCUCAAGUCUUCCCUGUCUUCCCGGUUGCAAAAGCUUCCCACCCUCUCAAGGUGUUGGCUUGGCACGUGAUGCAUUCUGCGUGCCGUCACACCAUUAGUGCAUUGCAGUGUUAAAUAAAAAGUGUUGGAGGUCACUGUUGCCGAAAAGCAAGAGGCAGAGCGUGUGAUGAGGCACCCAGGCUUAGCAGAAGACUGUCUUCCUCUCUUGGGUGGAUGAAAGAAUUUUUACUUUCAGCUUUAUCCUGGGGCUCUUUUUGUCUGAUGAGAUCAUGAAGAGUUGAGCAAAAUGUAGAUUUACAUGACUGUCCUUGCCAGAGUCACUUGUCAGGAAACACUCUUCUAAUAGGUGAGUUGCCUUUCUUUGUAAAAAUGUUUAAGAUAUUAGUAAUUCUGUCAUUUGGGGAAUUUGAAAUUGAAGAGUAUUUCCUACAUAGAAAAUAUUUUUUUAAAGAGAAGUGAAUAUUGGCGCCAGGGAUUUACCUCAGUGGUUCCGCCGCCUGCCCCCCAAGCGCAAGAACCGGAGUUCGAUCCCCGGUACCAAAAAAAAAAAAAGAGAGAGAGAAAAGAAUAUUCCCAGUUUGUGGUAUUGCUAGGAUUUAUAAUGUAAUUUGUAUUAAAAGUGAUUUUCUUUACAGCAGAGAUCAAUAUAGACUCAUAAUCUAACAUUAAUAAACUAGGAAAAGUUAAGAAACCUGUUAAUUCCAGGUGCAAGUUAUUUCCAAGGUCAUAUUGCAAGUUCCUGCAUUAUGUGUUUUGGCUGUAGGUCAGAUUGGAAAAAAAAAUUAAAACUUGCAAAAUUCUGUUUAGCAAAUAUUCUUUGAUACUUAUGAGUUAUUCUCUUUUAAACAAACUGAAACAUACAACACAGCAUGCAGAAGUGAAACUAAUUCAUUAUUUCAUUAAGUAAAUUUCACAAGUGUCCAGCAGUUUUCAGAAUUUAUUAUCUUUAAAUAUAUUUUACUUGGUGGAAGGGUGAAUUUUUCUAUUUUAUUAUUAGUUGGUGUUGUUAAUCUCUUGCUGUGCCUAAUUUAUAAAUUAAACUGUCAUAGGUAUGUAUGUUUAGAGAAAAACAUAAUAUAUAAGGUUUUGGUUUUACUCGUGGUUUCUGGCAUCCAACGGGAUCUUGGAAUGUGUCUCCCUUCCCUAGGAUAUGGGGAAAUUAUAGUAUAUAGUAUCCUGAAGCUUUGAUUUCCUGCUUUCAAUAGAUAAAAACCCAUGGGAAUACCAUGACCUUGUGAAUUUAUUAAAAGGCAAAAAGAUUCACGCAUGAUUUCUUCCUCCUCCCAUCCUUAUACUAUACUCAAAUUAUCCCAUUAAGGGUUUAAUGCUAUUUGUGAAUGAUUGGCCUGACCCAAACUCCAGGAAACAAGAAAACUAUUUUCCAUUUGUGUUUUUUGUAUUGCUCACCAAAAAAACCUCAAGAAAAGUCUACAUAUAUGGCCUCUAGCUUUCUUCCCUCCCUAACAUUUUACUGUAGGUGAUGUUUCCUCACAUCAUCUUAUGGGUUAGCUGGUAGAUAUAACCUAUGGCUCCACCACUGAAUUUCAGUAAUUUAUGUCUCACACAUUCCCUCCCUGUAGUUCAGAAAAUAUCCAGUAAUGUACAGCAUGAGCUUAUAGAUGCAAUCUUUGUGGCUGCGAAGUAGAACUGCAUAUUUCCUUUCUGGGUCCAAGCCCUAGUUAUUCCAGGGUUGCCCUCCUCCCACCACAAAGAGGUGAUGUGCCUUGCU